ACGAACGAACGAACGUGCGCUCUCUCAAUCUCAGUCUCACCCGCACAGCCUCAAUUCUCCGUCUCUCUCACUUCGUCACCGUGCCUCCGGCGAUCCGGCCUCCGUGCGCGGCGCUCCUCCGCUUCACUGUGCUACCACGACCCUCUCUUUCUCUCUGCCCGACUCUGCCUCUGUCUCCCUCUGCUCCUCCAGUCCACUCCACUGCGCCCCUCCACUCCACUGCUCCUCCAGUCCUCCUUCAGCCUCCAGCCCACGGCUUCUCCACAUAAGUUCUCGUUCUUCUCUUCUUCCAAUCUUCUUGUUCUGAUAAAUUGAGAAUCUGGGAUUCUGGGAAUUAUUGAACUGAAGUUGAAUUGGAAAAUUGAAAUUUGAAAUUUUGAAUUGGUAUUGUUCAUCAGUUCUACGAUUACUGAUAAUCAAUUUAUUUCUGUCUUACUGAUAUCAACUAGAAAUUUGGUAAAGGCGUAAUGCUGCAAACUUGGAAAUUUGGUCAAGCUGGAAUUCUGGAUAUUUGGGCGUUUUUGUUAUGUGUAGACAUUUGUCAUGACCUGUUAGAUUUUUCAAUUGGUACUUUGUUAGUAUUAUAGGGCUUUUUGCUGGAGUUUGAGUCGGUGGACAAAGUGGUGUGUGUGUAAACAUUUCAAUCGGCGCCUUUUUUGAAUUUAAGAAGGUGGUCUGGUUUGUUUCCCUCUCUCUUAUUUGUUAUAUGUUUAUUCCUGAGUUUAGGAUGCAAGUCCUUUGUCUGUUAAUUCUUGUCUGUUUAUUUUUAUAAUGCUUUUGAACCUCUGCAUCUCUGUGUCACUUUUUGUCCUGUAAUACAGUUCUUCACAAGGUGCUGUCAGAUUUUUGCAAAGGAGAGAAAGAGACAGAAAAAAAGGGGCUAGUCAUUUUAUCCAUAUUUAUUUUUAAGAUCACCACCUAAGACCGGCCCUCAACCAAACCCGAAGUUGCCAAAACCUUUAAUCCAAAACCGGAUUUGCUAUCAUGAAGAGGCUUAAUGGGUUGCCGGCACUGUGUUUUGGGGUAUAAGAAGAAGUGGGUGUUGCUUUGAAAGUGUUAUAGAGUAAAGAAAGUGAAGGUCGGACUUGGUCUCUGUUUUGCUCCAGUGGGCCUUAUCUGCAAUGAACCAACUGAAUUGUAGACCAACAGAUGCCGUCAAGAUUUCCGUUAGAUUGACCGCGUCUCACAUAGGACAGGGAAGAUGAAACUGUAAAGUAUGAAGUUACCACAAGGGCUUUUAGGGGAGAAGGAGAGAAGCAGCUGCAUCAAGGAGAUAAAAGGUCCUGUUAGAAGAAACCAUCAACCUGCAAACAGAGCACAGUUGAAGUCUUCUCCCUCGUCAUCCCUCAUCCUGCAAAGCAGAAAAACAAAUGCUUCCUGAACCCUAAAAAUUCGAUCAAUUCAAUUCAAUGAUUAAACGUCCUAUAAAUGAUUAUCGGUUGUGUUGAUUAUUUGGGAAGAUUACAAACCAGAAGAUGAAGAUGAUGAUGGUGAGAAAAGCUGGGUCUUAAGCUUAGGCUGCUGGGUUUACAUGAUGGGAAUGGGAUCAGGUACUUGAGAUCUCUUAUUGUUACUUGCUCUUGUUGACAAUUUGCCCUUGAGUUACAUCAUAACUUCAGAAGGAGAAAAUGCAGUGUCUUGAACAAAUUGAGAUUAAUAGCCCUGUUGGGAUGCAUCUGAUGUAUAACUGCUCCAAUCCGAAAGCGAAUUUUGGGAAAGCAAAUUCCAACCAAAUUCCGCCAUGUCAGUUUUGUACUGUUUACCGCUCAAAGUAAAAGCCUUUCUUGGAAUGUUCAUGUUUAAUUGUUGCUCAAGACUACCUUGCUUACAAGCACAAACCUUGUACAGAAAUCCAUAUAUAGAAUUCCUUAAUCUUCUUGUGGAUCUAUUCCUUUCAUGUAAAUAGAAUUGUGUGUGAGUUCCUUGUAGAAA